CUUUCUCUCGAAAACCUAUCUGUCCUUCCCUUUCCUCCUCACGCGCGGCGAUUUCUUCUCUCUCGGGCGAAGACGAAACCGCGUUAGGGCUUGGUCGCCGGCGCCGGCGAAAGGCUUUUUCUGGCCGAUCUUCACCCGUGCGUGACCACCUCGACGAGGGGAGCUCGGAAACACAAAGAAGCCGCCGAGAUUUGAAGCUUCUCCGAACCCUAGAACCUUCCUCUUUUGGUUGUAAGUCCCAAAAGCAAAUAAAGGAAAAGCUAGAGUAUAAAGAGGAAGGCGACAAGGAGGAUGCGUGAUGGAUGUGUGUGAUGUUUGGAUCUAUGGAAGCUUGGGACCUUGCUAAAGGAUUUAAAUGGGAUUCUUGCUAAGAAGUUGUUUAGAGUCCUUCUUUAAUGUUAUUAGAGAAGUUGAGAUUAUUAAAGAGUUGUUUCUUUUUUCUUAUGUUGCUAAUUGAGUCUAUUCCGCAUUGUUAGUU